rnacentral:lncRNA from 1 species
AGCAUCUCUACUAAACUAAUUUAUUAGCAUUUGCCUCUAAGUAACAUUCUAAAGGAGUGAGAUAGCAGUGUUUUAAGGCCAUAGCUUGUGAAUUGGAACCAAAGAGUUGGCAGAUUGAGCUUGCAGAGCAGCUUCUCCCUCAGCCCAGGAAAAAGCUGUUCCUGGAGGAGAAGCAGAGCUGGUAGAUGCCUCUGUGUCAUGUUCUGGGGAGGGCUUUGCUGGCCAAGAGGCAAUCAUGACUUCUGAGGUGACUUCCUACCUUGUCCUAGAAAUAUAUAAUCAAUCAUAGACUACGUCUGAACUUUUUUUUUUAGUCUUUCAUUAGGCAGGGUCAUUCAGCCUGAGACAGUUCUGAUUGAAAUAAAGUAAUUUCCUUACUCACCUGAAUAUAUUAAAACAAAGGAGAUUAUAAUAACUUUAGCUGGGAGGUGUCCUGAUUAAUUGAAUUCUAGGAAAAGUUUCUCUUUUACCUCUUUCUCUUUCCUCCUUCUCCUCCUCUCCAGCUUUCUCUUCAUAUCUUCAUAUGAAACUCUCACACAUCUUUCCUUACUUUGUGUUUGUUUCCUGACUUUUUGACCCUUUUUAUCCUGUCAUAAACCUAAGCAAAUUGUUAGAGCAAAGCCCAAAUACAAGUGUCAACAGCCUACAGAGAGGUUUCCUUAGAAGACAGCAGGCAGUAGACUUGUUUUUUUUCCUGCUUCACAGUAUGGGGAUGUAGCAAAUAUGACCAGCUGUUCCAUGGAGACUUUUGACACGGUGAAACCAUUUUGUGCAGUGAUGCUCUGGCCUCACCCCAAGCUUUUUUUCCUCAAAGCUCCCUUACUCAGUGUACUGAAGAGCUCUUUCUGGAGAUAUGUUAUGGCUCUCUUCCUCCCCACCCCAGCCCCUAGACAUCUCUACGGUUUGAGCCCCCUGUGGAGAGGAAAUAAUCUUUCUAUUGCUUACUGUUUCUUUUGGCUCAUAUGCUUUGGUGUCAGUAAAUAUAAGGUUCUUUGUAUCCCUGACUGGUGCCUGGCUCACAAUGUUGUAUUGUCUGAGACACCUAUUCCAGUUUUCAGCUUAGCUGAGUGACCCUCUAUUCACCCUGUGCUUCCUUAUUAGUGGCAAGAAUAGCAAAUUCAUUCCUGUUCACUGCAGCUCUGAUUCUUUUAUUCCUAGGAACUUCUGAAAUUUUUGUCUUUCUGAAGUGACAAAUGCUUUACAACAUAUCUAGAGAUGCUACUGCUCUUACAGUGUGUCUUCUCCUGUCUGUCUUCAUGAUUGUGACAUCUUCAUAGGGAUGUUUUUGUAGUUAAACUCUGAAUUAGUUCUUUAGUUCUUCCUCGUUUCUUUUAUGUGAGUCUUCCUAUGCAAAUUCAGUUGAACUCCAUGCACUGUGCUGCAUGUAGCCUAAAAGAUUUUUUGCAUGUGCUUCAGUGAAAGUUGAAAAAAACCCUAGUAAAUAGUUCUUGCAUCUGUUACAGACCCUGAAUACUAAGACAGCAAUCCACAGGUGAUAUUGGUAUCCAUACAAUGCAGGCUGCAAUGCCACAGACACAAGUGCUACCACAUAAGAAGUUGCCACCCUAGAGAGUACCAGUGCAGAUAACAUACCAGAAUCAAACCUGCAGCUAGAAACUGAAUGAAAUGGGAAAUACUUCUAACAUUAUGGUGACAGAGUUACAGCUAAUCCAUCUAAAAUAAGCAUGCAAAUGUACAGAGUCAAAAUAAAAUGUUUAAAUAUAUUUUGGCAUAUUGUGGAGCCUGUAGCUGAGAAAAUUCACUUGACUUUUGACCCUUUUUCGAUACCUUCAGGAUGCUAGGCAUGGAAUUUUCCUCCAACUUUAACCUUUUAGCUAGUAUUUUGUGCCUUAUAAGAGAGACUCCCAUAGGCUCUAAAUGACAUCUGUUUUUUGUUUUGUUUUUCUUUUAAAGAACAAAGACUACAUAGAACAGUCAAUUGAACU